GGAAGAUACUGAAGUCAGUCAGUAGGUGUGAGGGCGUAGAUACUGAAGUCAGUCAGUAGGUGUGAGGGCGUAGAUACUGAAGUCAGUCAGUAGGUGUGAGGGCGUAGAUACUGAAGUCAGUCAGUAGGUGUGAGGGCGUAGAUACUGAAGUCAGUCAGUAGGUGUGAGGGCGUAGAUACUGAAGUCAGUCAGUAGGUGUGGGGGGGGAGAUACUGA